CAGUCCUUUAAGUUUAGUCCCGUGAGGCUAAGAAGGGUGUGAGUAAGAAUUCCUGUGGUGCGCCAUAGCGAGACUUGCUCAAUGACGUCGCAUACACAAAGCGACCGGUGUGGUAGUAUACACUCAGUCUAAACAUUCCUCCUGUCCUCUUAGGGCAGGAGUUUUUUUGU
rfam:Enterococcus mundtii QT 25 DNA, complete genome.